AUUGAACGCUGGCGGAAUGCUUUACACAUGCAAGUCGAGCGGCAGCGCGGCCUUCGGGCUGGCGGCGAGCGGCGAACGGGUGAGUAAUGCAUCGGAACAUGCCCAGUCGUGGGGGAUAACACUUCGAAAGAAGUGCUAAUACCGCAUACGUCCUGAGGGGGAAAGCGGGGGAUCGCAAGACCUCGCGCGAUUGGAGUGGCCGAUGUCAGAUUAGCUAGUUGGUGGGGUAACGGCCUACCAAGGCGACGAUCUGUAGCUGGUCUGAGAGGAUGAUCAGCCACACUGGGAAUGAGACACGGCCCAGACUCCGACGGGAGGCAGAAGUGGGGAAUUUUGGACAAGGGGGGCAACCGUGAUCCAGCCAUUCCGCGUGAGUGAAGAAGGCCUUCGGGUUGUAAAGCUCUUUCGGCAGGAACGAAACGGUGGGCUCUAACAGAGUCCGCUAAUGACGGUACCUGAAGAAGAAGCACCGGCUAACUACGU
rnacentral:rRNA from 1 species